CAAGGAAAGGAUCUGCCCCAUGAUCUCACCGACUGCUUGGAAGAGGCAACCGCUGCCCCGAGGUCAGGCAGCUUCCCAUACACCAGCAUCUGAGCAUCCUGCUCUCCUCAGACAGACACACACAUCACUGGGACUUUCUAAAGAUGACCCUUCUUCAGCAGUUUCUCCAUGCUCAUAAGCAGGCCAGAUCCUGGAGUCCUGACUUACCUUCCCCUUACGCUGUGGACCUUGGAAGGGGUAAAGCACCAAUGGCUCUGUGAAAUUUGCUGUGGGCUUUCAUGUUCCUCUACAGCUGGAGUGGAAGGUGAUCUGAGAUUUGUUAGAUUUGCCAAUUCAGAAGCACGCCGUAAAAACACAAGGCAGGACUGUUUGGUCCAUUUUCUCUUGCUUUGCAAGAGAAAUACAUGACCCGCAGUCUGGAGAAAACUCUGCUUUAGCAGAAAGACCUAGAAAUGGUUAAUCCUUCUGGAAGAUGCCACUCACCAACCUGCUAAUGGAGUAAUACCAAAGAUGGGAUUUGUCCCAAAUAAAGAGCCUAUUAAAACUAAAUAAAAGGCUUCCAGAAGCCUUUCUUCCAAAGCAUCCCCGAGAGCCUUUCUGAGGCUCUAGGGCUGCCAGACCUCAGCUGACAACACGCACUUGGCCCCUUCUCAGCUUUACCAGAAUUGCAAGCAGGAAGCUGGGCUGCCGAAGUCGCUCCUUGAGCUGAGGAGGCAGCCCUGCUGAGUGAGGCCACGGCCUCUACCCCGUGCAGGAGGCACACAGAUGCUGUGGCUGAGAUGGCAGAGCUUGUGGAGAGCCCACCGUGUGAAGGCCAAGCUGGAGAUGGGCAAACAGGUCAUGAAAGCAAAGAUCAGUGCCCUCGGUGCUAGCACUCUGCAGAAAUCCAGGGGGAGAGGACAUGAAGGAAUUUCUCCAACCAUCAGUGCGAGGCAGAAUCCAGCUCUCUGGAUUUGCAGGCUAGCACUGAGCACUGCCCACCCUGGCUGAUGGCGCAGGCGUCCCCCUCACUAAAGAUUGGGACAAUUUGCACUCCCCCUGCCUGUUAGUCAUCCCUUUAUAAUUACAACCAACAGGAAUAAACCGAGCUUGCAACGGAGGGAGGAUAUUUGGGCCCUUCAAGCCUUACUCAGCAUCAUAUGACUGCCUUCUCUUACAGCUGAACUCAGACUCAUGUUCACAAGCUGGAAGAUAACCUGUCUGAAGCCAAAGCCCAGCUGGCUGAGGUGGAGAAGAGCCAAGCUGAAAUUAAUGCCAUCAGGCUCCAAGGCCAACGCCGCUUGUGCUGCCCUGGACAAGAAGCAGAGAGCCUUUGAUAAGAUGCUGGUGGAAGGGCAACAAAAAAUAUGAAGAGCUGCAGGUGGAAGUGAAUAUUUCGCAGAAGGAAUGUGCAUUGACUGGAAACUCUGAGCUUAAGAGUGGCUGUGAAAAACCCUUGGAGCACCUGGAAUCUGUGAAGAAAGAACAUGGCCCUUCAUGGACCUUUGGAAGCAAAUGGAUGAGGAUGCUUGCCAGCAUGGGGAGCUGCAGGAACAACACCUCAGCCUGUUACAGCCAGAGCUGGAAGCAGUACGGACUGGGCUGGAGGGCAGCGAGGUUGAAAACCCUACCUUAAAAAGGACAGCGUAAGAUUCUGCCUCCAAUGAAACCACAAUUUUGCUCUGUGUUUCCAUGGUGCUGGGAUUUCUUCUAUGGAACGUAGCCCACAGCAAGAUCCAUUUUAGUGAAAUUUUACAGAUUGCAGUAUGAAAUGACAUACCUGCCGUCUUUUUUUUUGUGUGCAUAGAAUUUAGAAGCCACUUUAACAUUCACCAUUACAGCCUGCAGUUCUUUUCCAUAAAGGAAACAUUGCUCAUAUUUGCAAGGAAGAAAGUAUAACUUCUGGAAAGGACUGAUACCAUGAAAAGCGUUUCUCAGCUGCAAUUAAGGGACAUCAGUUAUAAAAAUUGGGUCAUAAAUGCAUUUUUUAUUCAAAUAGAUUAGCAACGCAAUCAAUUCAUUUACUUACAACUGACUGAUGAUGAAAGAACACAUUUUUAGCAAGUGAACUGCCAUCUCCAUGCUAAAUUUGGAGUUUAGAAGUUUUGUUAUACGGCACCUAUAAAGCUCAGAACCUGCGCAGUGUUCUGGAACACAAUGGCACAUUUACUUGAUGUUGUUUUGCUAGAGAGCGGCGUGUUGCUAGAAUGCAGUUGUUCUGUUAAAGCCCUUGUAGUCCUCCUUCCUUAGAGUGGGGCUCAUUUUUUUUUAUUAUUAUUUUUACAGCAACAACAGUCCUCCAAUGAUUCAUAUCAGCAAACAGUAAGCACUAAACGAGCUGUGGAGCUCAUAUUUUCCACUGAGAUAAAAAGACAUACAUAUCAUAAAUUCUGGAGCAGAAACUACAUUCGUUUGUUGAGAUUGCAAUCAAACACGGUUUCAGUCAGGUCUAAAGCCAGCUGCUGCUACUGCAGCUUCACUUGGAAAUAAAUAAUAUUGGUAUAUAUAAUCAAAUCCAUACACACAAAUAUCCAGUAAAACAGACUCAGGCUCGAGGACUUCAUAAACAACACAGUCUAUCUCUGCCUCAGAGGUGCAUCAUUAUUUUAGCUUUCAUUUAACAUGACAAUAAAUAUGCAGGUCCUAAUGUUCCGUAAUGCAGAUACAGAGGGGGUGAAUCCCACUUGGCUUAACAGUGCAAAAGUUUAGAGAAAAACAAACUGCAGAAAACCUAUCCGCAAACCACUUUGGGAGCUGAGCAGUUAACGUAUUCUGGGUCUCCAGGACUUCUUCCUGCCCUCUAGAAAUAGUCUGCUUGCUAUUAAAUGCAAGCUAGAAUCUGACCUUCAGCACACUGUUAAUGAACAUGAGGAAGUCAUCAGCAAGCACUGUAAAGCUGAUGAGAAAGCACAGAAAGCUGUGGCUGAUGCAAGUCACCUCCCCACCCUUCUGCCCUUUAUGUUGGUAGCUAGAAACCUUGAGGUAUAUAUUCCAUUAUUUUUCUCCAGUGCUUAUUUGUAGGGCAUACUGCUGAUUAUAUAUGUUAGCUGUUGCAUUGCUCUUUAUGAUCCUAAAAAGCAGAAUGCUUGUUAGCUCACUGAUUGCAGUUUGGCAAAAUUAAUCCACAAAAGAAAUCUACUUCCUCUAUGCCUCUCUCGUAAUCUACAUCACAGAUGGCACCCUGAGGAAUUCCUCCAUUUCCUCUCUCGUUAUCCCUUCUUUCACUUAUUGCACAAUUCCACUCAUCACACCUCUAAGGCCUCCAACACAAGAGUAGGCAGGCUUCCCUUUCUAGCUAGUCAAUGGCAUUCGUAACUGGCACAGAGGGGAGAAAACUUGCCAGCACUCAGCAGAUUGCUCCGUUGGCACUGUACUGACAGCUGGCACUUCAAAAAUAUCAUAACUAGCUAUGGAUUUAAUGCACAGUUUCCUCCCUGAGCGAGGAUGAGCCUCCUGCCUUUCUGCUUUAAGCACAUUCAGACAAUAUCUUUACUUUCCAUCUAUAGCAAUUUUAAGCCACCUUCUUUCCAUUGAAGGGUAGAAAUCAAAGCUCAAAGUAUUAUUAGAACCAAAGCUAUUGACUUAAUAGACAGGGAUAAUGCCU